rnacentral:rRNA from 1 species
AACGCGAAGAACCUUACCUGGGUUUGGCAUGCCCUGAAUGCAGUAGAGAUAUUGCAGGCCCGAAAGGGACAGGAGCACAGGUGCUGCAUGGCUGUCGUCAGCUCGUGUCGUGAGAUGUUGGGUUAAGUCCCGCAACGAGCGCAACCCUCGCCUUUAGUUGCCAGCACGUUUGGGUGGGCACUCUAAAGGAACUGCCGGUGACAAGCCGGAGGAAGGUGGGGAUGACGUCAAGUCCUCAUGGCCCUUAUGUCCUGGGCUACACACGUGCUACAAUGGCGGUGACAGCGGGAAGCCAGGUCGCAAGGCCGAGCCGAUCCCGAAAAGCCGUCUCAGUUCAGAUUGCACUCUGCAACUCGGGUGCAUGAAGGUGGAAUCGCUAGUAAUCGUGGAUCAGCAUGCCACGGUGAAUACGUUCCCGGGCCUUGUACACACCGACAUA